GAUGAACGCUGGCGGCGUGCCUAAUACAUGCAAGUCGAGCGAACAGACGAGGAGCUUGCUCCUCUGACGUUAGCGGCGGACGGGUGAGUAACACGUGGAUAACCUACCUAUAAGACUGGGAUAACUUCGGGAAACCGGAGCUAAUACCGGAUAAUAUAUUGAACCGCAUGGUUCAAUAGUGAAAGACGGUUUUGCUGUCACUUAUAGAUGGAUCCGCGCCGCAUUAGCUAGUUGGUAAGGUAACGGCUUACUAAGGCAACGAUGCGUAGCCGACCUGAGAGGGUGGUCGGCCACACUGGAACUGGGACACGGUCCAGACUACUACGGGAGGCAGCAGUAGGGAAUCUUCCGCAAUGGGCGAGAGCCUGACGGAGCAACGCCGCGUGAGUGAUGAAGGUCUUCGGAUCGUAAAACUCUGUUAUUAGGGAAGAACAAAUGUGUAAGUAACUAUGCACGUCUUGACGGUACCUAAUCAGAAAGCAACGGCUAACUACGUG
rnacentral:rRNA from 1 species